GCCAGGUGUGGUGGCACAAACCUGUAAUCUCAGCUACUUGUGAGGUUGAGGUAGGAGGAUCACAUGAGUUCGAGUCCAGCCUGGGCAACUUAUUGAGACCCUCUCUCAA
rnacentral:sRNA from 1 species